UACGGGGGGGGGCAAGCGUUGUUCGGAAUUACUGGGCGUAAAGGGCUCGUAGGUGGCCAACUAAGUCGGACGUGAAAUCCCUCGGCUUAACCGGGGAACUGCAUCCGAUACUGGAUGGCUUGAGUUCGGGAGAGGGAUGCGGAAUUCCAGGUGUAGCGGUGAAAUGCGUAGAUAUCUGGAGGAACACCGGUGGCGAAGGCGGCAUCCUGGACCAAUAUUGACGCUGAGGAGCGAAAGCCAGGGGAGCAAACGGG
rnacentral:rRNA from 1 species